AGUGAACGCUGGCGGUAGGCCUAACACAUGCAAGUCGAACGGCAGCACAGUAAGAGCUUGCUCUUACGGGUGGCGAGUGGCGGACGGGUGAGGAAUACAUCGGAAUCUACUUUUUCGUGGGGGAUAACGUAGGGAAACUUACGCUAAUACCGCAUACGACCUACGGGUGAAAGCAGGGGAUCUUCGGACCUUGCGCGAUUGAAUGAGCCGAUGUCGGAUUAGCUAGUUGGCGGGGUAAAGGUCCACCAAGGCGACGAUCCGUAGCUGGUCUGAGAGGAUGAUCAGCCACACUGGAACUGAGACACGGUCCAGACUCCUACGGGAGGCAGCAGUGGGGAAUAUUGGACAAUGGGCGCAAGCCUGAUCCAGCCAUACCGCGUGGGGGAAGAAGGCCUUCGGGUUGUAAAGCCCUUUUGUUGGGAAAGAAAAGCAGCAGGUUAAUACCCCGCUGUUCUGACGGGACCCAAAGAAUAAGCACCGGCUAACUUCG
rnacentral:rRNA from 1 species